rnacentral:rRNA from 1 species
CGGAGGAAAAGAAACCAACAGGGAUUGCCUCAGUAACGGCGAGUGAAGCGGCAACAGCUCAAAUUUGAAAUCUGGCCGCAAGGUCCGAGUUGUAAUUUGUAGAGGAUGCUUUUGGCGAGGUGACUUCCGAGUUCCCUGGAACGGGACGCCAUAGAGGGUGAGAGCCCCGUACGGUCGUGCCACCGAGCCUCUGUAAAGCUCCUUCGACGAGUCGAGUAGUUUGGGAAUGCUGCUCUAAAUGGGAGGUGUACGUCUUCUAAAGCUAAAUACCGGCCAGAGACCGAUAGCGCACAAGUAGAGUGAUCGAAAGAUGAAAAGCACUUUGAAAAGAGGGUUAAAAAGUACGUGAAAUUGUUGAAAGGGAAGCAUUCAUGACCAGACUUGGGCUUGGUUGAACAUCCGGCGUUCUCGCCGGUGCACUCUGCCAGCUCAGGCCAGCAUCAGUUUGCCCCGGGGGACAAAGGCGGCGGGAAUGUGGCUCCCUACGGGGAGUGUUAUAGCCCGUCGUGUAAUGCCCUGGGGUGGACUGAGGUUCGCGCUUCGGCACGGAUGCUGGCGUAAUGGUCAUCAAUGACCCGU